rnacentral:rRNA from 1 species
UGCGUAGGCGGGUUUUUAAGUCAGAGGUGAAAUCCUGGAGCUCAACUCCAGAACUGCCUUUGAUACUGAGAAUCUUGAGUACGGGAGAGGUGAGUGGAACUGCGAGUGUAGAGGUGAAAUUCGUAGAUAUUCGCAAGAACACCAGUGGCGAAGGCGGCUCACUGGCCCGUAACUGACGCUGAGGCACGAAAGCGUGGGAGCAAACA